rnacentral:rRNA from 1 species
GAAUCAGUACGCUGGUCGUGCCUUCGGUAUGUACUGGUGUCACUGGUUUCUCCCUUCUGAAGAACCAUCAUGCCAUUCACUUGGUGUGGUGGGAAAUCAGGACUGUUACUUUGAAAAAAUUAGAGUGUUCAAAGCAGGCAAUCGAGCCUUGAAUACUUCAGCAUGGGAUAAUGGAACAGG